rnacentral:rRNA from 1 species
UACAGAGGGUGCAAGCGUUGUUCGGACUUAUUGGGCGUAAAGCGCGUGUAGGCGGCUUUGCCAGUCGGGUGUGAAAGCCCUCGGCUCAACCGAGGAAGUGCGCCCGAAACUGCAGAGCUUGAGUACCGGAGAGGGUGGCGGAAUUCCCCAAGUAGAGGUGAAAUUCGUAGAUAUGGGGAGGAACACCGGUGGCGAAGGCGGCCACCUGGACGGAUACUGACGCUGAGACGCGAAAGCGUGGGUAGCAAACAGG